GAUGAAGAACGUAGCGAAAUGCGAUACUUGGUGUGAAUUGCAGAAUCCCGUGAACCAUCGAGUCUUUGAACGCAAGUUGCGCCCGAAGCCAUCAGGUUGAGGGCACGUCUGCCUGGGCGUCACAUAUCGUUGCCCAAUGCCUAUUGCAGUGCAAUAGGAAUUUCUAGGGCGAAUGAUGGCUUCCCGUGAGCGUUGUUGCCUCGCGGUUGGUUGAAAAUCGAGUCCUUGGUAGGGUGUGCCAUGGUAGAUGGUGGUCGAGUUAGAACGAUACCGAUCAUGUGCAUGCUCCCCAAAAUAUGGCCUCUAUGACCCACACGCGUCUUUUGACGCUCAUGACGAGACCUCAGGUUAGGCGGGGCUACCCGCUGAAUUUAAGCAUAUCAAUAAGCGGAGGA
rnacentral:misc_RNA from 1 species